rnacentral:rRNA from 1 species
GACGAACGCUGGCGGCGUGCUUAACACAUGCAAGUCGAACGGAAAGGCCCGGCUUUUGUGGGGUGCUCGAGUGGCGAACGGGUGAGUAACACGUGAGUAACCUGCCCUUGACUUUGGGAUAACUUCAGGAAACUGGGGCUAAUACCGGAUAGGAGCUCCUGCUGCAUGGUGGGGGUUGGAAAGUUUCGGCGGUUGGGGAUGGACUCGCGGCUUAUCAGCUUGUUGGUGGGGUAGUGGCUUACCAAGGCUUUGACGGGUAGCCGGCCUGAGAGGGUGACCGGCCACAUUGGGACGGAGCUACGGCCCAGACUCCUACGCGAGGCAGCAGUGGGGAAUAUUGCACAAUGGGCGGAACCCUAAUGCAGCAACGCCGCGUGCGGGAUGACGGCCUUCGGGUUGUAAACCGCUUUCGCCUGUGACGAAGCGUGAAUGACGGUAAUGGGUAAAGAAGCACCGGCUAACUACGUG